CGAAUUCAACAACAAUGAAGCUGAGCUUCAUGUCCUUGAUCUACUUGAGAUAGACCUGAUUCUCUGAAGAUACGUUAUCGGAAAACAGUGCCAGACCCAGCAGUAUGGAAUGCCUAAACGUACCGAAUUUGUUUGAAAAAAUACCAUUAACGGGCGACACCAAAGCGUUGUAAAGUAAACCGACGGUUUUAUCCCCGAAGACUGUUAUGAUGCUUCCAGCUUUUCGGAAAUCUCUCAGCGCCAAUUACUCAAUAUGAUUUCAAGGCCUUCUUUCAUAACGCUGAUCCCACGAGAUGAUCGUUGAUAAACGUCAAAUGCGAGAUUGAUCUCUUUGCAUUGUUCGGAGGCGUUCAUGUUUGAGCCAAGGCACCACAUACGGAGAGGAAACACAUAAGCUAGAGUUUCAGUCGGACGAAAUCUGUUUAUGUCCCUGGAUCACAAUGCGUCCCUAAAAUUGACAGGCAAAUACGUUACGUACUAAACAGACACGGACACCUUCUCAAUUUAAUCUAAUUAUGCCCGUUCGCCUGUGGAAAGAUCGCUACCGCUAUAGUUGUUACCACGCCAAGGGGCAGGUGGUCAUCAUAAACAUUGACCUAGAACAUCGACAUGCCAUCACACAUCAGACAGGCGACAAUUGCUACCGCGUAUAGCUACUAUGGCGAUAAUUGAGAACCUCAUCUUCGUCCUCAUUAAUCUUAAAAUACAUCGAGCCAAGUUAAACUAACAUUACGAUCUCUUGAGUCAUACGGACGACAUCUCCCAUCGGAGGGCUAGAUUGAUUUAUCAACUGUUCUUCACCAUUUGCCUUAUCGACCUCACUUACUACCAAUCGUUUCGGCUACGCUAAUACCAUUAACGUCAACAGCACGACUAUUGCUUUCGCCAUCGCCGUGACGGACUUCAAUGUCAAUUCGAAUGACUGGUGCUGCAGCACAAUUUAAUCGAGAGAACAUUCCGUGGAGAGUUCUAUUGUACAGGAUUGGACACCUGUGAUGCAAACACUCUACGUUAUUACAUAGUUUACUCUGUAUGUAUAUGUUUGAAUUCUAUGUUAUUGUAGCGGUUCGAUUGGACGCAACAGGGCGGUAUGUCAUAAUGGGUUAGCUAUGGACCGGUUGCUGUUAUCAUGAUCGAUGAUUCCGCAUCUGAUCGUAUCGACAGCGCCGUCUCGGCGCAAGCCAUUAAAUGCAUUGUCGGCUCACUGAAUAGCCGCCCGGCUGCCCAGU